rnacentral:lncRNA from 1 species
GAGUUAAUAUAUGACAGGGACCACACAAGCUGCACAAGAAAACCACGUGCAAGACCUUCUCUUCCUUCUUAUUUGCUUUACAAGGAACUGCAGCAUCCCAGCUGAAAAUGCCUCAACAGGUGGAAGUUAUGUCCAUGAGGACACAUAAAUUGUCAACACCUGCCCGUCUCUUCUGGGAUGGAGCCACUGGCAGGGACUGGUUGGGUUGCUAAGCAGAUCUGUCUGCCAUGGUGGAGCUUUACGAACACCUCUGCAUAUGGAUUAAAGGUAAAAUGAUUUCCUAAUAAUUUGUAGAGUUUUUUAACAACAAUAGCAAGUUCUUAGGGGUGGGAAACACUUUCUCUUUUUUCUCCAGGGUUUGGCAUGGUAGGUUUUGUGCAGGCACAGCUUCUGUCACUAAUAGUGCUGGAUGCACAUAAAGCACUGUAC